rnacentral:rRNA from 1 species
GACGAACGCUGGCGGCGUGCUUAACACAUGCAAGUCGAACGGAAAGGCCCCUUUGGGGGUACUCGAGUGGCGAACGGGUGAGUAACACGUGAGUAACCUGCCCUUGACUUCGGGAUAACUUCAGGAAACUGGGGCUAGUACCGGAUAGGAAUCCUUGCUGCAUGGUGGGGGUUGGAAAGCUUCGGCGGUGUUGGAUGGACUCGCGGCUUAUCAGCUUGUUGGUGGGGUAGUGGCUUACCAAGGCUUUGACGGGUAGCCGGCCUGAGAGGGCGACCGGCCACAUUGGGACUGAGAUACGGCCCAGACUCCUACGGGAGGCAGCAGGGGGGAAUAUUGCACAAUGGGCGGAAGCCUGAUGCAGCAACGCCGCGGGCGGGAUGACGGCCUUCGGGUUGUAAACCGCUUUCAGCAGGGGCGAAGCUUGUGGUGACGGUACCUGCAGAAGAAGCACCGGCUAACUACGUG